GGCGCAUACCGCGGGAGCCCGCACAAGCCGUCGACGGACGGCAGGGCUGAGAGGGCGUCAGAGCCGACCGCUUGACCUGAUCCGGUUAGUACCGGCGUAGGGAGGAAUCCAUGGACACCU
rnacentral:ncRNA from 2 species